rnacentral:rRNA from 1 species
UACGUAGGGGGCUAGCGUUGUCCGGAAUCAUUGGGCGUAAAGCGCGUGUAGGCGGUCCGGUAAGUCCGCUGUGAAAGUCGAGGGCUCAACCCUCGAAUGCCGGUGGAUACUGUCGGGCUAGAGUACGGAAGAGGCGAGUGGAAUUCCUGGUGUAGCGGUGAAAUGCGUAGAGAUCCGGAGGAACACCAGUGGCGAAGGCGACACGCUGGGCCGUACCUGACACUGAUGCGCGACAGCAUGGGGAGCAAACAGG